rnacentral:rRNA from 1 species
GAGUUUGAUCUUGGCUCAGAGCGAACGCUGGCGGCAGACUUAACACAUGCAAGUCGAGCGGGCGUAGCAAUACGUCAGCGGCAGACGGGUGAGUAACGCGUGGGAACGUACCUUUUGGUUCGGAACAACACAGGGAAACUUGUGCUAAUACCGGAUAAGCCCUUACGGGGAAAGAUUUAUCGCCAAAAGAUCGGCCCGCGUCUGAUUAGCUAGUUGGUGAGGUAACGGCUCACCAAGGCGACGAUCAGUAGCUGGUCUGAGAGGAUGAUCAGCCACAUUGGGACUGAGACACGGCCCAAACUCCUACGGGAGGCAGCAGUGGGGAAUAUUGGACAAUGGGCGCAAGCCUGAUCCAGCCAUGCCGCGUGAGUGAUGAAGGCCCUAGGGUUGUAAAGCUCUUUGUGCGGGAAGAUAAUGACGGCACCGCAAGAAUAAGCCCCGGCUAACUUCGUGCCAGCCGCCGCCGU